UAGCAAAGGAAAGCAAAGCAAAGCAAAGCAAAGCAAAGCAAAGCAAAGCAAAGCAAAGCAAAGGGUCUUCCGUCUGGGAUUUAUUCUUGCCCAUAGGCAGGAGCUGCUCCCACAAACUGGAUGGAACGCAACUUGGAUUGCAGCUGACUGAGAAGAACCUUGCUAUGAAGCAUGCUGUAACCCUAUACCCCUGUCUGGAUCAAAUAAAGGCCUGCAUUUCAAAAGCCCUCUGUCGAGAUCUGCUGGAAAGGGAAGAGGGGAGAGACGUGCUCACGACAGGUCAGGAACAUAUGGGAGAAGAUGCUCCUUCAGGCAGUUUGGUCUCAAGCCACCGGGGGUAUUAAAGGUCAGCAUGAGCACUUUGGAAUCAGGCCCAGAAACUGAGUUGCAACCAGUGCAGUUCAGGCUGGACUGCCGCCAGCUGGUCGAGCGAUCAGGCCCAGUAAGCAGUGUUGCUCUUCUUUUCUGCACUAGCUGAUGUUUCCCUGUGUGCAAUGCUUUUAAAUUAUCCAUGCAGGAAAUUGCUAAUGCAAGGAUACCUGUGGCCAGGUUGUCUCUGCCCAGAUUGGGCUGAGGCUGGUAUAAGAGCUGCAGUUGAUGAAAGGCACUGGCUGCCAUCUGGGUCUCAAAUCACAGAGGUAGAGCUAUAAGGAACCCCAUCCAAUCCCUGAGAUCCAGUAUGGUGAACCGGGUAAAGGUGUGGGACUGGGACUCAGGAGAUCUGGGUUCUAGUCCCCUCUCAGUCACUGGGUGGC